rnacentral:tRNA from 3 species
GGUCUGGUAGUGUAGGGGUGAUCACAUUCGGUUUGUAUCCGAAUAACCUGAGUUCGAAUCUCAGCCUGACCU